UUAGUAGUAAUUAUACAUUUAGAAUUAUUAAUAGUUAAGUUCUUUAAAAUUAAAGAUUUUGGCGGUAUUUUAGUCUCUUCAGAGGAACCUGUUCUAUAAUUGAUAAUCCACGAUUAAUUAAACUUUAUUUAAUUAAUUUGUAUAACGUCGUAAAAGAAUAUUUUAUUAGAAUUAAAUAUUCAAUAUUUAUUAUAUUAAUAAAAAUCAGAUCAUGUUGCAGUUUAUAGUAAAGGAGAAAUGGGUUACAAUAUAAAUUUAUAUAAAUGAAUUAGUAAUUUAAAAUUAUUAUGAAAGUGGAUUUGAAAGUAAUUAAAAAUAUUUUUUUUUAAUGAUUUAAGCUCUAAAAUAUGC
rnacentral:rRNA from 1 species